AUCCUUUUCCAGUUCAUAAGCAUGAUGAUCUGGUUUUCACAUGUCUGUGUGAUAGGUGCUUCCCUUUAACCUUGUUAUGACGGUGGCACUUGACCCUUCUGACA